UACGUAGGGGGCUAGCGUUGUCCGGAUUUAUUGGGCGUAAAGAGCGUGUAGGCGGCCGGUAAGUCCGGUGUGAAAACUCGAGGCUUAACCUCGAGAUGUCAUCGGAAACUAUUCGGCUAGAGUCCGGAAGAGGAGAGUGGAAUUCCUGGUGUAGCGGUGAAAUGACGCAGAUAUCAGGAGGAACACCGGCGGCGAAGGCGGCCCUCUGGACGGUGACUGACGCUGAGACGCGAAGCGUGGGGAGCA
rnacentral:rRNA from 1 species